rnacentral:misc_RNA from 1 species
UCCCCCCUCAAACCUCGGGUUUGGUGUUGGACCGACGUUGGUCGCGCCCCGACCAACUGGUCUCAAAGACAAUGACGGCGUCCGUGGGACCCUCGAUACACCGAGCUUUCUUUCCGAAGCACGUACCGAGUCGCAAGGACCCACGCCCGCCGGUCGCCCUCCCCUUUCCGGAGAAAACGCAAGUUUUUUCUUUCUAA